rnacentral:lncRNA from 1 species
AAGCAAUAAGCUUUUUGGAGUGUUACCAACAUGUUUGGGAAAUAUGACUUCUCUUAGAAAGUUUCACAUAGGAUCUAAUAGGUUAACCUCUGAGAUACCUUCUUCCUUUUGGAAUCUCGAAGAUAUUUUAGAGGUAGACCUAUCUUCUAAUGCUUUAAUUGCAAAUCUUCCACCUGAGAUUAAGAAUUUGAGAGUUCUUGUACUAUUAGACUUGUCAAGAAAUCAAAUUUCAAGAAACAUUCCAACAGCCAUAAGUUUAUUGAACACUUUAGAAACUCUCUCCUUGGCAGCUAACAAAUUGAGUGGGCCUAUCCCAACAUCACUUGGUGAAAUGUUAAGCUUGAGUUUCUUGGACUUGUCUCAAAAUCUUCUUACUGGUGCGAUCCCAAAAUCCUUAGAGUCACUUUCUUAUCUUAAAUACAUUAACUUUUCAUACAAUAGAUUGCAAGGAGAGAUUCCUAAUGGAGGACCUUUCAAAAAAUUCACAUCUCAAUCUUUCAUGCAUAAUGAAGCACUUUGUGGCAGUUCUCACUUACAAGUACCUCCAUGUGAUAAACAUAGGAAAAAGUCAAAGAUGUUAUUAAUCAUAUUGAUAUCAUCCAUAAUUGUUGUGCUAUGUAUUUUGGUUGUUGCAUGCAUAAUACUUCGAAUGCAUAAAAGGAGAAAGGGUAAAAAUUCACUUGAAAGGGGUUUACACACUAUAGGAGUUCCAAAAAGGAUUUCCUAUUAUGAACUAGUGCAAGCAACUAAUGGAUUCAGUGAGAGUAAUUUACUUGGAAGGGGUGGCUUUGGAUCCGUGUAUCAAGGAAUGCUUUCUAGUGGGAAGAUGAUAGCAAUUAAAGUACUUGACUUGACAAUGGCAGAAGCAUCAAGAAGCUUUGAUGCAGAAUGCAAUGCAAUGCGCAACCUUCGACAUAGAAAUCUAGUUCAAAUUAUGAGUAGUUGUUCAAAUCCUGAUUUCAAAUCUCUAGUGAUGGAGUUUAUGUCAAAUGGAAGUGUGGAAAGAUGGUUAUACUCUGAUAACUAUUUUUUGGAUUUCUUGCAAAGGUUGAACAUAAUGAUAGAUGUGGCAUCAGCAUUGGAGUAUCUCCAUCAUGGUUCUUUAAUACCAGUGGUUCAUUGUGACUUGAAGCCUGCUAAUGUGUUAUUGGAUGAAAAUAUGAUUGCACAUGUUAGUGAUUUUGGGAUUUCCAAGCUCUUGGAUGAAGGACAAUCAAAAACUCAUACAGGUUAUAACUUCUUCACUUCUAAGUCAUAUUAUAUCUUAUCAAUUUGAGUUUGUCAGGUCAACUCAGUUGAGAAAAUAAUAACUAAUACAUAUUUUUAUUUAUAAAAAAUUAAAGAUUUUGAUUAAGAAGGGACCAAAUGGAUUGAUAUGGUAUACUGUGUUGUUAUUAUGAAUGAAACAGUAUUUUUUUUUUUUUAAAACAAAAACUAAAACAAUUAUUUUGUAAGAAUAAAAACAAUAACAAAUUUUGAUCAUGAAAACAAGAGAUAGCAAAACUGGUUGAACUUAUUAGGUUGGCAAGUUUUAACCUCACAUUUUAGACGUUUUUUAGGCCAAUUGGUCUAACCAUGAAGACAUCUAUAUUUUGUUUUGUUUUGUUAUUGAUUGGCUAUCAUAACACAAGUAUCAUUGAGAAUAUUUUUAUAACUAGUGAUUAAUGUUCAUAUACAGAGUAUGGAUCUAGCGGAAUCAUUUCAGUUAAAGGAGAUGUGUACAGCUAUGGGAUAAUGCUAAUGGAAAUGUUCACCGGAAAGAUGCCAACAAAUGAAAUGUUUUCAGAAGAAUUAACCUUGAAAACUUGGAUUACUGAAUCAAUGGCGAAUUCCAGUAUGGAAGUUGUGGAUUACAAUUUAGGCUCACAACAUGAGAAAGAAAUUCAUGAUAUCUUAGCUUUAGCAUUGAGAUGUUGUGAAGAUUCACCUGAGGCUCGGAUUAAUAUGACAGAUGUAACUACCUUAUUAAUCAACAUCAAGACUUCACUCAUCCGAUGAAAAAGGAGAUCAAGAAAUAAAAUUUAGUAGUAAGUUAUUAUAUGCUUUUGAAACAUCCCCCUGUUCCUUUAUUCCAAAUGUUGUUUGAAUCUUUUUUUUUUUUCUUUUUUUUUUAAAAGAUCGAUGUUUUGUUUGAAUCUAGAUGGAAUAUAAAACAUUGUUUAAUCGGAAAUUAUAUGUAAUUGGUGCGACCUGACGCUCCUGUUAUGGUAGCAUCUAUUGAAGUUGUACUUCUGUGUAGUUCUAUGCCAUUUUAGAUGCAAAAAUUUCUCCAUUUCCAUUCUAAAAUACUUGCAAUUGCAUCUUAAUAAUAAUACAAAGCAUUACAUACAACUUCAGGAAUCUCAAUUGAAGCAGUCACUAAGAAGAACUGCGAUUAGUUACUUCUUAAACGCAUCUGCGUGGAAACCACAUGUAUCUCCUAACUGUGAAUUUGUUGUGUAUAAGUUGUUGGGGGAGUUCAGCACGCAUCUAAAGCAACAGUCAGCUAAAUGAUCAAAGCUCCAGAAGCCUUAACUUUAUUAACUUACUCACUUUAAAAAAGCCAAAUUUCUAAGUCAUAAAAUAUUUACUUGGACUGUAAAAAAUACAUUUACUUGGAAUUCACUUAUUAGCCAAUUUCAUAUAUUGAUAUUUGACGCUUUAUUUUGAAAUGAUAUUCAAUUCCAUAUCGAUUUCAUUACUUGUUCGGAUCCAAUGUUGAAACUUCUGGAUACAAAAGUUGUACACACAAAUAGUAGAAUCACAAUUUUAGCCAUUUGCAGCCCAACAUGAAAUAAAUGUCAUUAUAUCCACCAGAUAUUUUCCCCCCAAAAUGAAUAUGAAUGUCAUGUCAAAAAACAUAAAUGGAUUAACAACCAACAGAAAAAGGAAAGCUGCAAAUGAAAAUGGAAGUAAGCUGAGUUUUGGGGAAAUUUUGAAGGAAAAAGAAAUAUUCCUAAGUUUAUAACUUGACUUAAAUUUUUGACAUUGAUUAACAACUCUCAUAAAAGGAACAACUAAAAAGGGACGGAUGUAGACUAGACACUGCAGUUGUAACAAAGUGAGUAUUUUUUUGUUUCUAAAAAGACUAUCAUCAAAACUCACACACAUUAAGUGUUGAAAAUCACAAGUUCAAACUCGUGUUUGAGCAUAUCAAAUGUCCCUACAACCGACAAAGUAAGGCUUCUUUAUUUGUACGAAAAAUGUUAAUGCUAAUAUAUAUUAGUAUACCCCUAACAAGAUUUCAGAAUAGAAUAAAAUUUGAUAAUUAAGACAAAAACUCUAGUGAAAGUUGCCGGUGAAAGACCAAGCAUGAGCUACUCUCGAAACAAGAAAGCAAGUAAAUAUAAACAAGGUUAACAAUAAUGCAAUAAAAUAAUAAAUGAUUCAAUGACUUGUUUCUUCAUUUUUUUUUUCUUUGCUCCUUUUAGUGGACACAUUUGACUAAAUAAAUUCCUAUCAAAAUGUAACAAUACACAUUUUUUUUUUCAUUACCGCAAGCACUGUUUAAAAUUCUGAUUAUGACAGUUACCAUAAAGUCACAAACAUCUAGCAACACACUAACAAAUUCAAGUUUUCCUUUUUUUUUAACAUUGUUCAAUUAUAUAUAGAUAGAAAUUUAAUUUAACGCUUCACUUGAAAUUUCAAAUCUGUGGAUAAGGAUCCAGCAGUUCAUGUUCCACCAAAAAUGAUGCCGAUCCAACACCAGCAAGUAUUCCAAAUGCCGAUGCUUGUUUCCAACUGGAUCCGUAUCUGUCUAAUAAUAAGUAAAUCAAAAUGGUAACAUAUUCAAAAAAAAAAAAUUGAAUCAAUCAAGUGCUUAAUUGAAUUGGUUUAUGGAAUUGUGAAGUACCACAUAUGCAAGAUCUAGACAAUGGCAGCAAGAGUUUUCACCACAUAGUAUGCCUAGAAGAAUUGUGCAGACCUGCUUGCUAUAUGCCAAUAUGGCUGCAUAAUAUAUACGACAUUAUUUUAAUUUAAUUAGUAUGUAGACAUUGCCAUCUAGUUUAAUGAAAACAUUACCAUCUAUGAAACAUGAACAUUUAGAAUAUAAAGGCCCGGUCCGUGUUGCACAUGUGUCUCGAUCAAUUAUGUUUUUAGAUAAGCAAAGUUAAUGAAGGGUACAUUUGAGGUAGUUCCAAAUUAAAUCAAGUCAAAUGAGGCAAACGUGAGGGAAGUGACUGAUGACAGUCAGUCAUUCACUUUUUAGAGUUUUUUUAUGAUAUUUUUGAGUUCACAAGCAAGAUUAAGCAGCAAGAAAAACUGAAGAAGCUGAAAAAGGGGAUCGUGUCACGAUUACUGAAAAACGUGACACGGUUUGGAGCUUCAAGAAAUAUGCAUUCGGCAUUGGUGAAAACGUAGCACGAUUAUGGAAACCCUAAUUUUGGUUGUUUGUUACACAAGGAAGAAACGUGUCACAAUUUACUUAAAUCGUGCCACGAUUUUAGGAGCAGUUCUUGCCUAUUUAAGCUGAAGACUAUUCUGAAAACAAGGGUUACGAUUUGGAGAGAGCAAAGUGCGAUUCGAGAUCUAAAGACGGUUAGGAGGGCGAUUUCUUCAACCUUCUAUCAAUUCAUGUAUGUUUUGAUUCCAGUAUUGAUUAUGCUAUUUGUAAACUCAAAUAUGAGUAGCUAAAUCUCUUAGAGAUUAGGUCUGAGAUGAUUCUUUGUAACCCUUAUUGAACCAUGUUGUUGUGAAACUCUAUUUAUUGUGAAUGACAAUCUAGUUUUUAUUCAAUUCAAUUGUUCUUAAUGCUUUUUAUAUCCUGAUCAAAUAUAAACAUAAUUUAGUGAGAAUGAAUGACUACUGACCAUAGCUUUCUACUUAGACAGAAUUGAAUUGUUCUAAUAAUCAUGGUUAGUAUAGGAAUGGAUAAUCCUUUAUUAGUGAUAUUAGGUUAACGUUCUUAAAACCUUCAAAGAUUAUUAGACCACCUAAGGAAUUAGGGGCUGUAGUUUGAGAAGAGGGUCCUAACUCAAGGGAUUGAUUAGGACUAUUUUGUUAACUAUCGUGGAACUAGAAAAUCAUUCAUAUGAAUAGGUGCAGUAUACCAAUUAGGGGAACAUAGAUAAUUUGAAAGACCUGAUCUCAUCUCUCUUCAUAUUUUCUAACCAAAUCUUUAUUUUAUGUUAUUUAAUUUUAUGCAAUCAAAUAAAAUCUAAACAAAAUAAUUUAUACAUCCUGAAUAUUUACUUUAUUUCUAAAUUGAGAUUAACACAGUCCUUGUGAGAACGAUAUUUUUAUUACUUCGAUACGUUUUUACUAAAAUAUCUAUCAGUGACAAUGUGAUAUGCUUACAGCAGCAGUAGAUGAACUUUGAGAUGUAACCUGUUUGUAUUGAAAUGUUUAGCAGUUAGCAUAACAUGGACUCUGAAAAGUUGCUAAUAGUUUUAUAUAAUAUCAAUUUGGAUUGAAACACUGUCUCCUUACCAUAGAAUUUGUUUUACUAAGAAAAAUAGCAAAUUUUAUUACCUUAACGAACAACCAAUAAAGGGAAUCACACUCUUCUUUGAAGGAUGUUAUUUAACAAGAAACUUCCAAUCUGUCAAACCAGCAUAGGCAUAUCUUGGUUUGUGAUACCAGUAAAGUUGAAAAGAACUUGGUUGCAGCUGCGAAGUUGUCUAAAGAGGAAAAACUAACAGAGAAGGCAUCUUUGGAGGGACAUAUUCUUUGUGUGUCCUAAAGCUACAAGAUGUUGGGAAUUCGUGAAGUUGGAAUUGUCAAUGACCUGCAAAUGAUCUUAACUCUUUGCUUUUCAAUAUUUUUGACAGAUUAUCCUCACAUCAGGAAGUGUCGCCAUUGUGAGCUAUGGGAGAAGGCCCUUAAAUACUAGGUGGGACCUUAACUCUUCACUCUUGCAUUACGCUUCAGUAAUGCGCCUAAGUGCUGCAGCAUUUCUGCAGGCUUAAACAAUAAAUUACUUCUUGCAUAAAUUCAACAUAACAUAACUUAAAUCAUUCUAAUCUAUUAAAAAGGACUUCUAAACCUAGUUAAGUAAAUUAAUCUAAAACUACUCAAGUAAAAGACUUUAUCAACUUGCAUAAAUAGGAUAAAAUAAGGUGAAGUAACUCAAAUUUAUAAGAGUUUAAAAUAGUCGAUAGCAAAUCAGCACAACCGACAACCAAGAAUCAACAACAAAACAGUGCUAGUAAAAUUGACAAGCCAACACUAGCAGAUGUUUAUCGACCUCUAGCGACAGCGCUAAAAAUUACUAACUUAGGAAUAGUAAUUUCCAUGAAUGUGGCUUUGCACGUCAGUUAGUUAGUUACCUAGUUCUCUUUCUCUGUCUCAGGAUCUAAGUAUGCUUCCAAUAUUUUAACUUUCUUUAAGUUCCCUGCAACUUACAUUUUGUGAUAAAACUUUUAUAUUUCUUUGCAAUUUAUUUUCAAGCAAUUUAAUUCCAAGUCCUUUAAACUUUCAAGCAUUACUAUUUCAAGUCAUUUAUUUUUCAGCAAACUAUAGAUUUUGUUCAAUUUAUGUUAUGUCUUUUUAAAGUUUUCUCUAAAUUCAAGUCAAUGUACGUACGUAUCUUAUCAUUUUAUCUUCAUAGUUUAUAUGAUUGUCUUUAAUUUCUUCACAAUUUUAUUUUCGUCUCCGUUUGUUCUUUAAAAAUAUGUAAACUCUCACAAACUAUUAUUCGAGUCAAGAACUUUAUAAAAAUCCACACAGUCACACACACACGUAAGGUCUCAUAAGUUCCCAAUUAACUUGACUAAGAUCCAAUGAUCACACUCAUUAAACUUUCAUUUAUGGUCGAUUUGACAUGCUUGACCGUUAACCAAAACUAUCCUAAAGAAUGAUAUUAAUCUAUAUAUUUUUGAUAUAUAUAGUAAACAAAAUAAAUAAAUACAGGGUUAAACAUGUAUAAGAGUUAAUCAAGUAUAUAAUUUUAAAAUUUGAAAAUUUUCUUUAGAUAUAAUAACAUAAGUUAAGUCUCACUAUAGUUUAUCUGAUUCACCAAAAAGGAUGAACUUUUGUUGUCGAAUUAAUUAACCAAAGCUCAACUAGUCAUAAGUUAUUCUUAUUUUAGCUCAUUUGUUUCAGAAAAGAUAUAUAACUAUUGUCGACCAGUGAACUAACCACAAUUCAAUUGUUCAUUUGUGAAGUUUCAUUGCAAUUUAUUCGAUUCAAAAGAGAGACUGAACCCUUUUCGAUCAGUGAAGUUUAAAUACCUAAUUGACGUGGUUUGACUACCAUAAAAAAUUGUAAUCCUUUUUUAUUUUAUUUUUAUAAAAAUACAUUUUACAAUCUUAAUAAAAAAAAUAUUUAUUUUAUAUUCAAUCCAUAAAAAAAGCAUUCACUUUUAUAUAACCCAAAGUUUAAGUAUUUUGAAAAAAUAAUUUGUCAAAUUAAUAAUUAUUUUGAAUGAAUUUUCAAAAUAUUCAUUUUUUCUAAUGUUUAAUAUUAUCCAAGCAAAGCAAGGCACACAUUUUUUGUAUAAAAUCGAAAGUACACUGUAUUAUGUAAAAAUUAGAAUGUUUCAUAUAUAUAUAUAUAUAUAUAUAUAUACUUUGUAAACAAAAAAUAAAGAAUGUUUAAUUAAUACUUCUUUAAAAUGAAUACUAAAAAAUGAUUUCCCAAGUUAUACGUUUUCCCAAGGUUUAAUUAUAUACGUGGUUGGUUUCAAGUUAAGACAAAAUAUAUUGUGCAUUAUUCCCAGCUUCAUCACCUUUGUUAUUUGUCUGUUCCCUCCAAUGCCUGAAAGACUUGUUUAGCCCCCAAAUGACCAGCUUCUCAACACCAAGUCAAGUCUACAGUCUGCAGCAUGAAGCCAUAUUCACGAUAAGUCUGAUUGUUACAUAUUCUGAAUUUCCACCAACUCCACAAUUGAAGUGAAUGAGACUGUUUUGUCAUUGAGUUCAACCCCAGCAAAGGUUUCAAGAAAUUUCACGAACUAUUCAUUCGUCAUAUGUGCUUAUAAUUUGGGAUGGAAAAACUGUGAAAUUCUCUUGAUCUUGCAACAGAAUAAGGGUCUUUGGACUUCUAACGAGUUCUGCCUUGUUUAACAUUCCAAAUUCUCUUGACUUUUACUAAGUUUUCUAGUGCAACAAGGCCGAGAGACACUCAUAACUAAAUUUUCCUACACUCCAAAAUUAUAAGCACCUAUUUUAAUUAAGAUCAAAACAAUUGUCCGGAAGUAUAAGCGCCUUUUAAAUUGAUAAAUGUAUUCGAUUAUUAUUCUUGAAUAAGUGAUAUAUCUAGUUUAUAUCUAUAAUAUAGAUAAAGGACGUUGCUUAUUCAAUGAAUAAAAAAAAUGAAUUUUUUUAUUAUUAUAAUAAUGAUGAGAUGCAGUACAUCUAUGACAAUUGCUAAUAAAUGUUCUGAACCGGUCAACGACCUCAGCCCAAUUACUUAGGCUCAAUAACAAAUCAAGUUGCUGUAUUUGACAAUUUACUCGCAACAAAUCAAGAAAGAAGGAAGAGGUUUUUUGAAAAUUAAAUUUUAUGUAAGAAUAAUUUUGUCAUUUUAGAGUGUAACCAGGAUUAUAGUGUAAUUAGAAAAACUCAAGUAAUUAUUAUCCAAGGUACACAUUUUUUUUUAUGAAAUAGAAAGUACACUAUAUUAUGUAAAAUUAGACCUUUGAUAUAUAAUACUCUCUCCGGUCCUAUUUAUAAGAAAAAGUUAACUUUUUAGAUUCAUUGAGUAAUUAAUGUAUUUGGUAUAGAAUAUAGGCUAAAUACAUAAUUUAUACUUUGAAUCAAAAAAGUCAAAUAUUUCUUAUAAAUAAGAUCGAAGGAAAUACAUGUUUAAAAUGAAUGAUUCAAAAUCACAGUAUCGUGUAUUAUCCCCCAAUUAGACCUCUAUGCAUUCCCCAACUCGUACGUUUUCCUGAUCUUUAUUUUGUGGUUCCUUUCAAGUUAAGACAAAACAUAGUAUUGUGUAUUAUCCCCCACUUAUUUAUGUGGCCUCCAACGCCGCAAAGACUUUGGUUUAGCCCCUCAUUGACUGGCUUAUCAACACCAAGUCAUUAUAUCACAUCACAAUAUACUUCAUCAGUAAUAUAUUUUUAGGUCAUAAGUAAUGUAUUUUUUUUAAGGAAUUAGUGUAUAUGUUUUAUAAUAUAGAAUAAAUACAUUAUUUAUUAAAUAAAUUUAAUUUAAUUUUAAUAAUAAAUAUAAAAGGAAGCUAAAUGCGGAGUGAUGAAACAUUACUUAUUCAAUGAAAAUCACAACUCAAUAUAUUAAAGGUAGGGAUGUAAAUAGAUAUCCAUGAUGCGGAUAGUGUGAUAUUUGUGUGCGCUCUGUCAGAUAAAUAUGAAAUCCGUAUUCUAUCCAUAUUCAUGCGGAUAUCCGUUUAGCGGGUAAUCCACGGAUUUUGAGGUAUCCGCGGAUUUUUACAGAUAUCCAUGGAUAACAUUUAUAAAAAUAAAAUAAAAAAUUUGUUUAAUUUUUUUUUAGCUAAAAUUUAGAAACAAAGGUUCUUCACAUGCAUUUUCUUUUCUUUUUAGCAAAACAUAAUAUUCAUACAUUACAAUAACAACAAAGAUCAUUGACUCAACAAAAACAUAAAUAAUGUCCCUUACAUUUAAUAAAAAUAAAGUUAUUUGAUUUAACAAAAAUAUAAGUAAAACUCAUCAUAUUCAACAAAAACAAAGCUUUUGCUUCAACAAUCCCAACCACUUUCACUUUCUUUUAAAGGAGCGUAAUAAUUGAUAACACUCACAAUACCUAUCGUGUUUUCUUAGAAAGUUGAAUGAUAUUGAGGUUAUUUAUGUAAUUUAUUUGGUUUAAUAGCGGGUAUGGAUAUCUGCGGGUGUGGAUACCAUUAAAUCCGCAUUCGUAUCCAUUAAUUAGCGGGUAGUUAAAAAAUUCAUUUAUUUUAUCCAUGGAUAUCCAUUAAGGUAUCCGCUCUGUGUCCGUGGCAGAUUUUAUCCGCGGAUAUUACGGGUGCGGAUUUUUUUGCCAUCCAGGUGUAUGUUGUCAUUUAAUAUCUAAACUAUACUUACAGGACAAACGACACUUGGUAAUUGUGAGGAAAAAAUAACGCAUGCAGUAUAUAAUAUAAAUAUCCUCCUUGGUGCUUAGACACUCAUGCAUGCAUCCUAUUGAAAAUGGCCAAGUUAUACUCUUUUCACUCUUUGCUCUUUAUUCUCUCUGCCUCACUCUAUUAUUACCUCUUCACUUGCUUAGCUAUGAUUUCUAAAACCAUCACCACAGAUGAAUUUGCACUUCUUGCAUUCAAAUCCUCAAUUACCUUAGACCCUUAUGAUAUUCUUAGUAAUUGGUCAAUUUCCUCUUCUACUUCUUCUUUCUCUUCAUGCAAUUGGGUUGGUGUUACUUGUGAUGAACAUCAUGGAAGAGUGAAUGCAUUGGAUCUUAAUAACAUGGACCUUGAAGGUACAAUUUCUCCUCAAUUGGGAAAUCUUUCUUUCCUUGUUGUUCUUGAUUUACAAGGCAAUAGUUUCUAUGGUGAGUUACCACAUGAGUUACUUCAGUUGAAGAGAUUGAAAUGGUUGGAUUUGAGUGACAAUGAUUUUGUUGGAGAAAUUCCUUCAAGGAUAGGGGACUUAGCAAAACUUCAUCAUUUGGAUCUUUACUUUAAUAAUUUUGUUGGAGCUAUUCCUCAAUCUAUAUCCGACUUGUCAAUGUUACGGUACCUAGAUUUGAGUACAAAUUUCAUCAAAGGAACCAUUCCACAUGCCAUUGGUCAACUUGGUAUGUUGAGGAUUUUGGAUAUUAGAAAUAACAAGCUCUGUGGAAUCCUACCAACAACAAUAUCCAACAUGUCUUCACUUGAAGAAAUUCAUUUAGCAAAUAACUCCUUAUCGGGUAAGAUAAGAUAUAUUCACUUUAUUUAUUACACGUGUGUGGAUACUUUGCACUGUGCAGCAAACCACAAAGUCGUUGAUCAAAAUCGUUAUUCACUUUAUUCAUUUCGAUCUAACGGUUGUGUAAGUGCGUGCAGUGUAAGGUGUCAUAGGGAAAUUAAAUUCAAUUUUAAACACCAUAUAUGAACCUUUCAUUUAUAUCAUGAAGGACCGAGAGACCGCUAAUUAAGCCUUCUUUAGACCCUUGUAUAAAUGAAUGUGCAUUGCAUGGUAACUAUAAUAUAUGAAUCAUUCUAAGUAAUUCUAAUUAAUGAAUGUAUUUCCUCUAUCUAUCUAUAUGUGUUGAACUAAAGGAGAAAUUCCAAAAGGAAUUGGUGAUCUUACAGAACUGAACACGGUCAACCUUGAAGAUAAUUUGCUCACAGGCAACAUAUUAAUGUUCAACAACACAUCAUUGCAAUACUUAUAUCUUGGAUAUAAUAAUAUGACCGGCGUUCUUCCAUCAAAUGUUUGUCAAUGGCUUCCAAACCUUAGAUUACUCUAUCUUUUUCAUAAUGAUUUUUCUGGUGAGAUUCCAAAUGUUUGGCGUGAUUGCAAAGAGUUGGAAGAUUUGCAACUAUCCGGGAAUAAUUUUGACAAAGGACGUAUUCCGGCUGAUAUUGGAAAAUUGAUCAAACUUCAAGUUUUGUAUCUCGCAGAAAACAACUUCGAGGGUAAGAUAUUUGUGUCAAUAUAUAUAUAUAUAUAUAUAUAUAUAUAUAUAUAUAUAUAUAUAUAUAUAUAUAUAUAUUAAUUGUUUAUUUUUUUAAAUAUUAAGUUUUUAUUUAUUGUUUCCUUAAAGUUAAAAAUGUUGCCAUUGAUUUUGAUUUUUCCUAUGAUCAUGCCAACCAUUGUUUUCUAAUAGUUAUCCACUCAAAGAUAGUGGAAACAAUGUCUCCAAAUAAGUUGCAUUCCCCACAUUUCAACGUAAAGUGUGUCGCAUGUUCUAAUUUUACGAGAGUACUUUUAAGUUGUAUGCCAUAUGAGUUUCGAAAUAGUUACCAUAAUCAUCUAGACCCAAAAAAAUCCAUGUAUGCUAUUUCAUAGUUAUACUUUAUUUGAUAUGUUAGAUAAAAGAGCAUGACUUAAAGAAUUUCAUUAAAAAAUGUGUUCCCCUCAAAAAUAAUUAAGUGUAAUAUUUUUUGACGCAGUUAGGUAUAUUAUAGGGAAAACACUAAUAAUUUCAUUCCUUAAAAAAAACUAAUAAUUUUAUUUUUUUUGUCAAGUAGCCUAGUGGUUAGAGCUCACACAAUUUAAUUGUGGAGAAGUGGGAUAUCCAGGAUUCGAACCGUGGCCCCUGCAUAUCAUAUGCAAUAUCCUACCAACUGAAUUAAGCUCACGGGAAUAAAAACUAAUAAUUUCUUCAAUAGUAACAAUAUUUAUUAGUUUUAUUGGUGUGUACGUAAAUAACUUUAAUAAAAUAAUUAAAAGAGAAUGAAUAUAAUAAUAGACAGAACUAUUUAUAAGUGUCAACUAUUCAUCUUCCCCUCUCCUGAUUUCGACACUUUGACAACAUUGACAAACUAUCCACUUCCCAUGGCCACAUUCAAUUACGAUAUUUAGUAUUUAUUUUAUUUUUAAAAAAUAUUAAGUUUUUAUUUAUUGUCUCUUUAAAGUUACUACAUUGCCUAAAAUAUUUGAGUAAAUUACACUCCCCUCCCCAAUGACGGAUCUUGAAAAUUUUUGUUAGGGGUGCCAAAAAGUAUGUAUUAUAUAUUAAACGGUUUCAAGUUAAAAAAAAAAUAAGUAAGUAACAGGUCAAGUUGUUGAUUAUCUUGGAUCAUUGUGAAGGGGAGCCGGUUCAACUCCUCUUCCAAACACUUUUUUUGAUUAAAAUAAUAAAAUUACAGUAGAAUUAUUAAAAAUAAGCGGGGCGUGGGACUCAAACCCGCAACUUUUAGGUGAAUGACAAGCCAUCUUUCCACUGCAACCAAGGGAAACAUGUUGUUUUAAUUGGCCUAAUAUGAUAUAUAUAGGAAAGUUAGGGGAUACCAUGACACCUGGGGUCUCCAAAGAGAUCCGCCCCUGCCCAUUCUCUCCCCUCAAAGUUGCUUGAAUUACACUCACCUCCCUCUUAUGUUAAAUUAUACACUCAUCUUCCCUCUUAUUUAAAACAUAUUAGAAAACAUUUCACUCCUCUCUCCUAAGAAAAGCUUGAAUUAUAUUCUCCUCCAUUCUUAUGUUAAAAUCUACACUUUACUCCCUCAAUAUUUUUUUUAUUUUUAAUAAUCUAGCAAAAAAAUAAAUAAUCUAACACACUUCGAAAAAAAAAUAGUAAUGCGGGUCUAUUUUAAUAUAAUCAAAAUUUGAAUACAUAUUUUUCGCUAUUUUUUAUUCACAAUUUCAUUAACAUAUAUUUUUAAACCCUAUUAUAAAAUAUGAAACAACCAAAGAUAAAAUUAAAAUAUGUGAAAAAUUACCAAAGACAAUAAAGUAUGGUUAUUUAAAGGUUAAUUUUAUACUAUAAAUUAUAAAAAUCAAUAGUAAAAUGUUUAAAUUUAAUUAUCAUUGACAUUUAAAUUAAGAAAUGAAUAUAUUUUUCUUAAAUGGUGGUUCAAAAUUAGUAUACAUCAUAAAAAUAUUUAUUUAUGUUAAAAUAGGUUAAAGUGUAGUGUAUAUUUAAAUAUUAAGGAAGAUCAAGAUUUGUAAGGUUUGAGUGUCUUUUUCAAUUGGUGCUUUUUCAAUUGGUGCUUUUUGUUUCUAUCAAUUAUCCAUUUGUUGAUUCACGAAGGUGCCAUUGUAUUCAAUUCUUUUGCCUUCAAACAAUUGAUAAAUUAGUCCAGUCAAUUGGUGUUCAUUGGGUUCAGUGCUUUAUGAAAACAAUCGCAACAAAAAUUGAUUAUUCACGUCAAUUUCAAUUGUCAAUUUUGAGACCUAGAAUCGGUUUGGUGAAUUACACUCAGACCCCAGAUGGCAUUCACGUGCCCAUGGCCGUGUGUGUCCGACACCGCACCUUCCGCAUCAGCUACUUCUACAGCAACGGUACCACCAAUUUCAGUGACAACUAAAUCAUUUGCAGCAGUCCUAAGGGGUCCAAAAGUGAUUGACGACAGUCCUCUACCUACUCCAUGCCUCAAGGGAGAUGCUUUGAGUAUCAAAAUUUGCCAGGAAGAGUACCAUAGGGGUGUAGAUGAAUGCAAGAAUGCGUUAAGGGUUCGUUUGUCUCUUAACAAGGGAGAUAAGCCAUACUCUGCACGUGCCUUAAGCGAUAAAAUCGGAAAGCUUUGGAAAACAUUGGCUGGUUGGAAAAUGGUGCCUCUCGGCAAAGGUUACUAUGACUUUCAUUUUGACUCGGCUGACGAUCUAAGGAAGAUAUGGGCAGCAGGCACAAUUAACCUCAAGCCGGGCUUGUUAAAGUUAUCACAAUGGACCAAGGAUUUCAAAUAUCUGGCUCAGAAACAGACUCAUGUAUCUCUUUGGAUUCGCUUGGUGGAGUUACCGCAGGAGUAUUGGUGGGAGAGAACCUUGAAGGAAAUUGCAAGUGCGGUUGGUACUCCGAUUGACAUAGAUGGACCGACACGAAACCGUACUUUUGGACAUUAUGCUAGAAUUCUUGUCGACAUUGAUCUUUCUAAGAGAGCUUAUGAUGAAAUACUUGUCGAAAGAGAGGGCUUCGCCUUCAAAGUUGAGGUGCAAUAUGAGAGGAGACCUUUAUUUUGUCAUCAUUGUUAUUCUAUUGGACACAACGUCUCCUCAUGUCGUUGGUUACAUCCGCAACCACCGAAAGACAAGAAUGAUCAUGGGAAACAAAUUGUUGUUGCCGAGGCAGCCCCUAUUCUUUCUACUCGGCAAAACAAAAGCAGCAAUGAUGUGGGUGCUUCGACAUCGGCCAAUGGUAACAAUGGUACAUGGGUUCCAAUACCGGUUGUUUCGACUGUUACUACCACUCAGAGGGUACCGGUGUCCGCAACUACUACAUCUGCACCUACAUCAUCGAUCUCAACUUCACUGGCAUUACCGGCUUCAUUUCCUACCCCUACAUCGACUAUCAGUUCACAGUUGACGCCGGUUGUUUUAUCUACUGUGGCUAAUUCUCAAUUUGACAGGUCUAAUAAUUUCAGCAUCCCAUUACACAAUGUGUUUGAUAUAAUCACUCCUAGAGAGUUGCAACUAAAUAUGCCAGUGCUAGAGCUUGUUUCCCCUGUAGCGCACGAUGACGUGCAACCUGUAGAAGUGAGGAAUCCGACAUCGAGGGAGGUGUUGAAGAACCCCUUGGUAAUUGUAGCUACUGAAUCACUUAUGGAUAGUGUAGAACAUAAUUAUAUGAGCCCGCGGGAGCUGGUGGAGAGUCCCAAGGUCUCUAAUGAGCGAGGAACACACUCAUCCCUUCUUGAGUGUGAGGACAUACGAUCUAACGGAGUGGGACAGACAACUCAGACAUCACGGGAGGUAUUGGAGAACCCCACGGUUGAUGAUGUUUCUGAACCACUUCAGGAUGGUGUGGAACAUGAUCAUGUGAGCCCACAUGAGCUGGGGGAGAGUCCCAAGGGUGCUCGUGAAAGUGUUCCAAGACCAUCCCCUGUUGAGCAUGUUGACAUGCAGGAAGUGUUUGAGGAAGUUUUGAUGGACACAGAUGUUGAAGAUAUAGAGGUGCUUGUUGGAUCAAAUCUCAUGCAAUCUCCUUUGUUUGCGACAUCAACCAUUGUUGAUGGUGGUUUGCGACAUCAACCAUUGUUGUAUGAUAACCGAUGGAUCGUAUGUGCUUUUUGACUUCCCCACUCCGUCUCUGACUUCUUAUAAAAAAUAAAAUCUUGUUUUUUUUUUUCGUUCAGAAAAAAAAAUUGCCAUUUUUUUGGACUGGAUAUUGUCUUGUCUCUUUUUAUAAAGAAUAUUUGAAAAUUUAACAUGCAUUAAGAAAAUUAGGCUGUGUUUAAUUUAUUUAUUUUGUAUAUAGAUAUUUCAAAAUUAUACUUUAUUUUCUUUGGGUAAUAAAAGAGAGCUAACACCAAAAAUAUGAAAGAACUAUAGAACUAUAUGCAGUGGCGGAUCUUGAAAUAUAGGGGUGCCAAAAAUUUGUAACAUAUAGAUAUAAGUUGUUUCACAUAUUAGAAACAAAUUGUAACAUGGUAUUGUGGUUCAUUGCAUUUUAAUACUAACCUCAUGAGCAGUGGUUUGAGUUCUAGCAAUGCUCUUUUUGCAAAUAAAAAUAAAAAUGCAUUUGUAACAUCCAUAGCUCUGUAGCGAGGGCGUUUUCUGGAGCCACAUCAACUGCCUGUUUACAAAAAUCACAUGAUUUUUUCCACUGCUUUGAGGGAAACUCAAUCUCUCUUUCAAAAUGACAAAUACCAUUUUUGGUCCUUUUAGUUUAUUAAUAAUUAAGUUUCAAUUAGGUCCUUUUAGUUUGACAAAAUUUUUAAAUUAGUCCUUUAAGUUUCAAAUAAGUCAUUUUAGUUUGACAAAAUUCACAAGUUACUCCUUUAACUUUCAAAAGAUUUUAACUAAAAUGACUUAUUUGAAGGUUUUGAAACGGUGAUGGUGAAAUAAUUUAUCAACUAAAAAGACAUAUUUAAAACUUUCGAUACUUAAACACUAACUUAUGAAUUCUGUGAAACUAAAAAGACAAAAAAUGGUAUUUGACCCUAAGACCCUUUCAAAACUAGGAGACAUGGUCACAGAAACAAGGAAAUUAAUCUCAAGUUGCAAUACAAUUUCAGUCCUGGUUGUUUGAUGAGCAUGAAGUUUCUCCAACGGAAGAAACAAACGCAAUUUUUAUGUUAUCAGUUGGCAAUAGGAUGUACUGUUUUUAAGUUUUCUCCUUUAGCUAAUUAUCAUCAAAUCAUAAUUUUAAACUUUUUAUGUUUAAACACAGGUGAAAUUCCAUUGUCCCUCUUCAACAUCUCUUCUUUGAGAGUGAUCAGCCUUCGUAGUAACAAUUUAAAUGGAACUCUUCCACGAUCGAUUGGCAACUGCACAUUUUUACAAAAGUUAUAUUUCACUAAUAACUUUUUUACAGGUAUAUAUACCCUUAACUUUUUUACACCAUGCUUCUUCAUCAUCAUAUACAUGUGGUUUUGUUUAUUUGUUUUUUCUCUAUGAUAUGUGAUGUUAGGUUCAAUACCAAAGGAGAUUGGCCAUCUCAAUCAACUUCAGCUUCUAUUUAUGAAAAAUAACAGCUUGAGUGGGCCUAUUCCUUCACAAGUCUUCAACAUUUCAACAUUGAAAUAUUUGCGUCUUGAACUAAAUUCUUUCUCAGGCAUGCUUCCAUCAAAUUUUGGAUUUGGACUUCCUAACCUACAAUUCCUCCAAAUGUAUGGAAACAAAUUUGUUGGAAAAAUUCCAAAUACUAUAUCCAAUGCUUCAAAUCUCUUUUCAGUUAGCUUUAGCGAUAAUGAAUUUAGUGGAAUUAUUCCCAAUUCUUUUGGGGAUUUAAGACAACUCCAAUUUCUCAACUUAGCUGACAAUAAUUUGACAGUAAUUGAUGAUUCUCUUCAAUUCAACUUCCUUACUUCACUUACAAGUUGCAGAUAUCUGAAAUAUCUUGAAGUAUCAGGGAAUAGUUUACCAUCAAAACUUCCCAAGUCCAUUGGAAACUUAUCCGUAGAACACUUUCAGGCAGAAUCUUGUGGAAUUAUUGGAAAUAUUCCACUAGAAAUCAGAAACAUGAGCAACCUUAUUGGAUUAUCUUUGAGGGAUAAUGAUUUAAAUGGAUCAAUCCCUGGUGUAAUUAAAGGGUUACAUAAACUUCAAUAUUUAGAUCUUGGUUACAAUGGACUGCAAGGAUCCAUGAUUGAUGAGCUUUGUGAAAUUAAGAGUUUGAGUGUAUUGUAUUUAUCAAGCAAUAAGCUUUCUGGAGUGUUACCAACAUGUUUGGGAAAUAUGACUUCUCUUAGAAAGUUUCACAUAGGAUCUAAUAGGUUAACCUCUGCGAUACCUUCCUCAUUUUGGAAUCUCGGAGAUAUUUUAGAGGUAAACGUAUCCUCCAAUGCUUUAAUUGGAAAACUUCCACCUGAGAUUAAGAAUUUGAGAGCUGUUAUACUGUUGGACUUGUCAAGAAAUCAAAUUUCAAGCAACAUUCCAA